AUACUACUCCCUCCGUUCGGAAUUACUUGUCUCGAAAAUGGAUGUAUCUAGAACUAAAAUACGUCUAGAUACAUCCAUUUCUGUGACAAAUAAUUCUGAACGAAGGGAAAACCAG
rfam:Triticum aestivum genome assembly, contig: Triticum_aestivum_CS42_TGACv1_scaffold_556075_7AL